GCAGUGAGGAAUAUUGGUCAAUGGCCGGAAGGCUGAACCAGCCAAGUCGCGUGAGGGAAUAAGGCCCUAUGGGUCGUAAACCUCUUUUGUCAGGGAGCAAAGGCGUCCACGUGUGGACGAGAGGAGAGUACCUGAAGAAAAAGCAUCGGCUAACUCCGUGCCAGCAGCCGCGGUAAUACGGAGGAUGCGAGCGUUAUCCGGAUUUAUUGGGUUUAAAGGGUGCGUAGGCGGAGUGUCAAGUCAGCGGUAAAAUUUCGGGGCUCAACCCCGUCGUGCCGUUGAAACUGACACCCUUGAGUGAGUGAGAAGUAAGCGGAAUGCGUGGUGUAGCGGUGAAAUGCAUAGAUAUCACGCAGAACGCCGAUUGCGAAGGCAGCUUACCGGCGCUCAACUGACGCUGAGGCACGAAAGUGCGGGUAUCGAACAGGAUUAGAUACCCUGGUAGUCCGCACAGUAAACGAUGAAUGCUAG
rnacentral:rRNA from 1 species